CAGACAUGCAGAGUUCGGAACGGCUCUCUCUGGCCAGCCUGGGUUUCUGGAGAGGGCCCUGAGCCCCAGGCUGCAAGCUCUCCACGGGCCUGCACCCCACUCCACUUUAAUCGCUUUGGGGACCCGUGCUGUCUCCACCUUGGGUAAGGGGCAGUAACAAAGCACCUUUCAGGUUGGCCAUGGUUGCAUGUAGGAUCGUGGCCAUCUCCAGGUACCCAGGUCUCAAAGGUCACUAUAAAGAGACCUGAGUGCCAUACCAAGGUUGCUGGUCAGCUCAGCCUGCCUCCCAGGUGAGGAGGCAUCCGGACCACGCCGCAAAUGCUGGCCUCACCCCUUGCCUCUGCUGUGACAGGAGAGGGCCAUCGAGAGAAGCCACCCCCGGCUUCUUCCUUGGGCCGCAGUCCCGCUCUCUGAAAGCCCUCCCUUCCCCACCCCUAUCUGACAGAGAGAGCAACGCGUCCGUAGUAACUGGACUCAAAUCGAAUAGGACCUGGGUUUUCCUGGUCUGGUCUCCAGCAUGGAAAACGGAGCUCGCCUUCUAGAGGUGAGAGGGUCCUAACUGUGGUGGUGGGUGGCGGCGUCUGCGGAGAGCACCGAGCACCCAGCACGGUCAACCACGGCAAGUCCAGGCCAUGAGGUCAACUGAAGACACAAGAAUGCUGUGACCCACCUUUCUUCACGGGAAUCGCAUUAAAACCCCAAGCUGCAGGUGACUUGUUACAUGCUUCCCGGACCUCCCUCAUAUGGGACCUAUCAAAAGCCGUAUGUUCCUUACCCGGAUCCCAUUUCUGGAUCACUUCAUCUCAAUCCAUCUCUCCCUCGUCUGGAUUCAAAGUGCUUGCUGUUUGGACUUGUCACCUGACACUGGUCUUAUGCUGCCUUAUACUGGAUUAGACUGCAUGUGUUUCCUCUCGGCUAGAUUGUUGUUUGUUGCAAGGUCACACUUCAAUUGAACAUAACCAAAAGGAAGGUGAUAACUUGGCCCUUCUCAGUCCUGUUCCGAGGACUUCUGCAGGUUUAAGCCAUUUAACUCUCCCAGCAUCCUUGUGUGAAGUAGGUGAUGCCUUCUUCUUCUCAGGACAGAGUAGACUCACGUGGCAGGCAAGUCACAUCAAAUCUUGGUCUUCGGGACUUAAACCUUAGGCUCACAUUCUCAUUAAAUAUUUACUACAUAGAGAGCAAAGUAAUACCCCCAAACCCAAGAAGAAGAGGAGAGCUAGGAUUUAGACCCUCUU
rnacentral:lncRNA from 1 species